rnacentral:rRNA from 1 species
UACAGAGGUCCCAAGCGUUGUUCGGAUUCACUGGGCGUAAAGGGUGCGUAGGUGGUUGGGUAAGUUUGAUGUGAAAUCUCUGAGCUCAACUCAGAAACUGCAUUGAAUACUAUCCGGCUAGAGAAUCGGAGGGGGGACUGGAAUACUUGGUGUAGCAGUGAAAUGCGUAGAUAUCAAGAGGAACACCUGAGGUGAAGACGGGUUGCUGGGCCAACACUGACGCUGAGGCGCGAAAGCCAGGGGAGCAAACGGG